CGGAAAGGAAGGAACGACGAUUCGGACCUACGUUUACCGCCUCUCUUCUCAUGGUUUCCGGUAAUUUCGUUAAAAUCACCGAUCGUAAACCAUGGAUCAGAACGAGUAAUGCCAAUGCACGUCAAGCGUUCCCAAACUAAUUCUCUGUAUUAAACUGCCAGAUCUCCAUAGACAAAAGUAAUAAAAACACGGUUUCCAUCAAUAAUAGUCUCAAUAUCAAUCAGUGAUCACUAACAAAAACAAACUUAACUGGAUAAUCUUUUGUAUACAUAAGAGCAAGACCACCACUGUUACCAAUAGGUUCAACAAUUUGAAGGGAGUCAAAACCUAAAGAUACUUGCAUAUUCGGAAGGUGCACACGGUCAUUUUUAGUCUCCGAUAAAAAAAGAAGCCUGGAGAAUACAUACGACACAUAUCUUCUAGUCGACGGGUAGUAAGUUCCACACCCGCCCCUUGACAAUUCCACGCUAGAAUCCUCAUCUAUUAUUUUCGGAGAGAGAGUAAAUCCCCACCGUACUAAUAAUUGAAAAAAUACUCUCCAUAAGAAAGGAGGAAUAUGUUAAAAUUUGGAUAAUACAAUUGGACCUCAAAACCAAGCUUCUAACAUGUCGAGAACAAGUCCACUUCCAAAGACUAAUGGACCAGACCCAUAACAUUAUCAUUUUGGUGGGCCAAACAGGCUUUAAACCCAUAAAAUUUUCAAGGCCUAAACAGACCCGAAUAGAAACAUAAAUGGGCCAAGCCCAAACCCGGUUUAAUCGCAAAUAUACUAAUUUGAUACUUUGUUGACCUAGCUCGGUCAUAUCGGAGACGGAGCAGCGGUGAGGUUCGGUGGUGAGGAUUGGUGGUUGUGCGGUGAAGACCGCUUCACCCAGGUGAAGGAGACACGAAGCCAACGCUUGUCUCACCGGUAUACGAGUCAACCGGUGGAAGGAGGGUGCAAAGGAGAGCUUCUGCGAACAAAAAUCUUCAGCCAUGGAGGCCGAGAAGGGACCAGCUAUGGUCGUGAGGCCGAGAAGGGACCAGCUAUGGUCGUGACAACCGGCAAGAGAAGUUUAGUGGCCAAGCUAGAGAAUUGUCUUGACGGCGGCAAGCCGCACCGUCAGAAUAAAACAACAAACUUAUGGAAUCUUGUGAAUAUGGUAACUUUUCCUUGGGCCAAGAACAUUCGAGAGUAAAAAGUCUCACACAUCAUCAAAACUUAGCAAUUGCUAGAAUUAUUCUACGGAUUCGUCAUGGAGUGAGACUACGAGAGAUAAGAGAAUCAUCAUCUCUAAGAAAAAAUCUCUAUUUGGUGAAGAAGAUGAAAGACAAUGAAGAUCUACGCCCAUUUAGAAUAGAUCGAAGGGAAAAAUUAUGAUGGAUGGGUAGGGGAGAACGAGAGGAGCUCAGAUCUAUUGUCGGGGAUCCAAAAGCAUCAUUUCGUCACCGUCCGUACAAGCCACCACGAGAGAGAAAACCAGGUUCGGUGAAAACGGGUACAUUUUUUCAUGAGAGGCUGGUCUUGUGAGAGUAAUCGAAGAGAGAAAAACAAACGCCGGAAAAGGAGGAAGAAAAAGCAUCACCGGAAAAAGCUGCAGCGGCGAGGAUGGAUGCUAAACGCCGGAGGAAAGGAAGAAGACGGUGGAAAAAGCAAACCAGAAAGUCGGGUUUUCUUAGAGGCUCGUGAACAAAGCCCCUUGUGGCUUCUUCAGCAGAUCCAAGAAUGGGAGAAAGGAAACAAACGAACAAUAGAUAUCAAAUUGAGAAGAUAUGUUUUGGGAGAAUUGUUAGGGGAUUUGGAUAGAGAUAGAGAAGAGAAAAUGGAUUAAGGAAGAAUGAUUGGGAGAAGAAGAUCAAGAACCUCCAUGUAAGGAUGAUGAUGACGCGUAAGGACGUUGAAGGAUGUUUCAUCUUAACAAACAGAAAUUGUAUUUGUUUUGCCAUGCAUAUCCGUUUUUUCUUUCUAUUUUUUGUUUUGGUAAUGACUUAUUAUAACAAAUCCUAUUGGUUUCUUCAA